ensembl:lncRNA
GGGAGCUCUGGGUGGGCCGCCCUCGCAGCCUCAGUUUCCCCCUAGGGGCCUGGCCCAGAGACAAGAACUGCGUGGGAAGCAGAGCUCACAGUCCCGUUGGCCUUGGCCAGGGCUGUCCUCCAACCCAAGGAAUGAGGGACUGGGUGUGGCCUCUUCCAGGAACCACCCUCCCCAGACCCUUCCGGAUGCGUUGCAGCCUCAUUCAGCCCCAGCCCAGAGCUUGGCCCAGAGGACAUGACUGGAAGAAGAGGAGGAGGUGACGGCGAAGGUCCCAGGGGACCGAAGUUACUGGUGAUCUAGCCAACAGUGCUUCUUCGCCACCCCCUCCCCCCGUGUGCAGGCCGGGGCAGGGUGGAGUGAGACUGGCCAAGAAUCCAUUGCAGUUCCGUCCUCGGUGACUCCCAGUGAGCCCGGCACUGUGCGAGGGCCCCCGGCCACCUCGGGAGGCCCAGUUGCGCUCGCCGCGCCGCAGCCCUCCCCCUCCGCGGUUCUGUGGGAAGGAGGCAGCUGGGGCGGGGGUGGCCGCGGGAGCGUCUUGCCCGUGUGAUCGUGCCGAGCGGGGAACUCGGGGCCAUGUGGGAAAGACAUUAGUGCCGGCCGCCCUGCCAGCCAGGAAUGCGCCCCCCGCUCCGCAGUCACAGCCUGCCUGGCCCAGAAACGGUGACUCACACGCUCCGUGUUCCCACCCCCUCGGCGCGCACCCUGCACAGCCCACCAAGGGCCUGGCCUGCGCUCCCAGCCUCUCUGCCCAGGCUGCUGCGGGCCGGCUACCUGCCUCGCCCAGCUUCCACUGUGCCAGCGUCGGGGAAUCCGAAGCCACAGAGAAGCUCCGGGUCGUCCUGGGACGCACAUGCCUUCCCCACCAUACUGCCUUGCCUGUUCUGGGCUUGCUCGGAAUAGCCACCCCUUUGGGACUUAUUACCCGAGGCUGCCUCCCUCACUGCGGAAACAUUGACCUCGGGAUCCCCACACUCAGCACAAGGCCAAGAACUCAGGACAGGCUGGCCUGGAAUACCACCAUCCUUCCCAGUGCUGUGAGGAUCUUGUUGUUAUCAUCCUUUUUCACAGAUGAAGAAACACCGAGGCUUGGUGAGCAGCAGGUGAUGACCAAGGGACUGUAUAAGAGAAAGAACGUGGAUGGGUCCAUCCAUACCCAGAGCUGUGAGCACCCUAAUUGCAGAUUGGAUACAAGAGCAUCCUGUUUCCCCACCUGCUGGACCUGCAAAACCAAACUGGGUUCCAGUAGGCGGCCCCUUGCUUUUGUUACCUUCCUCAGAAACCUUGCAACCAGCCUCCACCCAAGGCCACCUCUCAUAACUUUUAAUAAGAGGUAAUAGCACCAAGCAGCAGGCAUCAGCUUCAUUUUUAAUUAUCUAAUUUACAUUUAAUUUUCCCCACCAAUGUAUGCAGUUUAUUAAUGUUUUACCUAAGAGCACCCUUUCACAGUCUGGAAAUGCCUUCACAAAACUAAUGGGCAUUGGUUCUCUUGGAAGAAUGAUCUCAUUCAGAGUAGACCCAAGCUGGGGUCUCAGGCCACAACACCCAACAACCAACAGUUCUUAGCACUUUUUGUUGUUUGUUUGUUUGUUUGUUUGUUUUUUUGAGACAAGGUUUCUCUGUGUAGCCCCUGCUUUACUGGAACUCACUCAGAGAUCCUCCUGCCUCUGCCUCCCAAGUGCUGAAGUGCUGGGAUUAAAGGUGUGUGCCACCACUGCCCGGCUUGCACUAGAAUAACUAACGGACAAAUACCCCAGAAUUCUUUGAGAACACGUCUCUUCCCGGCUAGUCUCCAGAAAUAAAGAACACGAUGCCAUGUUUAUGGGACUUAGGUCUAUGCAUCUACUUUUUUUUUUUCCAGACAGGGUCCUGACUGUGUAGACACGGCUCACAUUGAUUCUCCUGCCUCCUGAGUGUGAGUGUUGAAGCACCCUUGCUCCCUAGUUUAGUAGUAUGCUGGAGAAGGGUUGCUCUGAUUCAGGGCACAGCCACUUAAGAGUAAGAGCAGAUUGGCACUUGGGAGACAGAGGUAGAUGGAUCUUUGUGAGUUCCAAGCCAGCCUGGUCUACAGAGUGAGUUUCAGGCUGUUACACAGAAAAAUCCUGUCUCAAACUAGCAAGACUGAGAGCUUCAAGGAAGGCCUUGGAGAUGGGCAUCCAGGACCCUGACUUCCAUCCCCAAGCCUCUGCAUUUCUGUGCAGCUUCUUUAUUUCAUAAAAAUGAAAACUGAGGCUCAGAGAAGCCAAAAGACUACCCCAAGAUCACACAGCAAAUUGGGGAUAGAGGAGGAAGUAGAGCCCAUAUUUUGGUCUCAUCCAAAUAGUUAUAAG